rnacentral:rRNA from 1 species
GACGACGCUGGCGGGCGUGCCUAACACAUGCAAGUCGAACGAAGCAUAGCAAUAUGCUUAGUGGCGGACGGGUGAGUAACGCGUGAACAAUCUGCCCUGUACAAAGGAAUAGCCUCGGGAAACCGGGAUUAAAACCGUAUGACACUUUAGUAUCGCAUGAUAAGAAAGUCAAAUCGAAUAGAGGUAUGGGAUGAGUUCGCGUCUGAUUAGCUGGUUGGCGGGGUAACGGCCCACCAAGGCGACGAUCAGUAGCCGGCCUGAGAGGGUGAACGGCCACACUGGAACUGAGACACGGUCCAGACUCCUACGGGAGGCAGCAGUGGGGAAUAUUGCACAAUGGAGGGAACUCUGAUGCAGCGACGCCGCGUGAGUGAAGAAGGUCUUCGGAUCGUAAAACUCUGUCCUUGGUGAAGAAAAGGACGGUAGCCAAGGAGGAAGCCCCGGCUAACUACGUG